UACGUAGGGGGCAAGCGUUGUCCGGAAUCAUUGGGCGUAAAGAGCGCGUAGGCGGUCCGGUAAGUCAGCUGUGAAAGUCAAGGGCUCAACCCUUGAAAGCCGGUUGAUACUGUCGGGCUAGAGUCCGGAAGAGGCGAGUGGAAUUCCCGGUGUAGCGGUGAAAUGCGCAGAUAUCGGGAGGAACACCAAUGGCGAAGGCAGCUCGCUGGGACGGUACUGACGCUGAGACGCGAAAGCGUGGGGAGCAAACAGG
rnacentral:rRNA from 1 species